AGAGUUUGAUCAUGGCUCAGGAUGAACGCUAGCUACAGGCUUAACACAUGCAAGUCGAGGGGAAACGACAUCGAAAGCUUGCUUUUGAUGGGCGUCGACCGGCGCACGGGUGAGUAACGCGUAUCCAACCUGCCCACCACUUGGGGAUAACCUUGCGAAAGUAAGACUAAUACCCAAUGACGUCUCUAGAAGACAUCUGAAGGAGAUUAAAGAUUUAUCGGUGAUGGAUGGGGAUGCGUCUGAUUAGCUUGUUGGCGGGGUAACGGCCACCAAGGCGACGAUCAGUAGGGGUUCUGAGAGGAAGGUCCCCUCACAUUGGAACUGAGACACGGUACCAACUCCGUACGGGAGGCA
rnacentral:rRNA from 1 species